AGUCGCCACGGUAAUCCGAAGGGGGCUAGCGUUGCUCGGAAUCACUGGGCGUAAAGGGUGCGUAGGCGGGUCUUUAAGUCAGGGGUGAAAUCCUGGAGCUCAACUCCAGAACUGCCUUUGAUACUGAAGAUCUUGAGUUCGGGAGAGGUGAGUGGAACUGCGAGUGUAGAGGUGAAAUUCGUAGAUAUUCGCAAGAACACCAGUGGCGAAGGCGGCUCACUGGCCCGAUACUGACGCUGAGGCACGAAAGCGUGGGGAGCAAACAGGAUUAGAUACCCCAGUAGUCCCUGUCUCUUAUACA
rnacentral:rRNA from 1 species